rnacentral:rRNA from 1 species
CAGGUCACUCCUACGGGAGGCAGCAGUGGGGAAUAUUGGACAAUGGGCGCAAGCCUGAUCCAGCAAUGCCGCGUGAGUGAGGAAGGCCUUAGGGUUGUAAAGCUCUUUCGCGCGCGACGAUGAUGACGGUAGCGCGAGAAGAAGCCCCGGCUAACUACGUGCCAGCAGCCGCGGUAAUACGUAGGGGGCUAGCGUUGUCCGGAUUUAUUGGGCGUAAAGAGCGUGUAGGCGGCCAGAUAGGUCUGCUGUGAAAACUCGAGGCUCAACCUCGAGAUGUCGGCGGAAACCAUUUGGCUAGAGUCCGGAAGAGGAAAGUGGAAUUCCUGGUGUAGCGGUGAAAUGCGCAGAUAUCAGGAAGAACACCCGUGGCGAAGGCGGCUUUCUGGGACGGUACUGACGCUGAGACGCGAAAGCGUGGGGAGCGAACAGGAUUAGAUACCCUGGUAGUCCACGCUGUAAACGAUGGGUGCUAGGUGUGGGCGGUGUCGACUCCGUCCGUGCCGAAGCUAACGCAUUAAGCACCCCGCCUGGGGAGUACGGCCGCAAGGCUAAAACUUAAAGGAAUUGACG